rnacentral:rRNA from 2 species
UAGCUAGAUGGUGAGGUAACGGCUCACCAUGGCAAUGAUACGUAGCCGACCUGAGAGGGUAAUCGGCCACAUUGGGACUGAGACACGGCCCAAACUCCUACGGGAGGCAGCAGUAGGGAAUCUUCCACAAUGGACGAAAGUCUGAUGGAGCAACGCCGCGUGAGUGAAGAAGGGUUUCGGCUCGUAAAACUCUGUUGUUAAAGAAGAACAUAUCUGAGAGUAACUGUUCAGGUAUUGACGGUAUUUAACCAGAAAGCCACGGCUAACUACGUGCCACCAGCCGCGGUAAUACGUAGGUGGCAAGCGUUGUCCGGAUUU